rnacentral:lncRNA from 1 species
GUGAAGAUUGAAGAUCCACAAAAUUGAUUAUGGUGAAAUGCAAGUGUGGAGCUGUAGGGAUCAUACGAACUGCAGGAACAAAGAGAAAUCCUGGUAGGCCUUUUUAUGCAUGCCCUUUACAGGUAUUGAGUUAUCAAUUUUUUUGGUAAUUUCUAGGAUGAACCCUAGUUUGUGCUAAUCGAGGGUAUUGAAAACUUCAGGGACCAAGAAGUGGAUUUAUUUCGUGGGUAGAUGAAGAAAAGCAUACGUAUGAGGCUGAAAGCCAAAAUCUUGAGCUUGAAAUCCAUAAUGAAGAACUUCAAAUCCAAAAUCGUGACCUUGAAAUCCAGAAUGAAGAACUUGAAAUCCAAAAUCGGAACCUUAAAAUGUUGUUAAUUGUCAGUUGGAUUUUGUUUUUUGGGAUAAUUGUUUACAAGUUGUAGUAUUAGGUAUUUCAGUAAUGGUUUUUGGUUGAAGAUAAUCUAAUG